rnacentral:rRNA from 1 species
UACGUAGGCAGCGAGCGUUGUUCGGAGUUACUGGGCGUAAAGGGUGUGUAGGCGGUUGUUUAAGUUUGGUGUGAAAUCUCCCGGCUCAACUGGGAGGGUGCGCCGAAUACUGAAUGACUUGGAGUGCGGGAGAGGAAAGUGGAAUUCCUGGUGUAGCGGUGAAAUGCGCAGAUAUUGGGGAAGAACACCAGUGGCGAAGGCGGUUCUCUGGGACGGUACUGACGCUGAGACGCGAAAGCGUGGGGAGCGAACAGG